GACAAUUUAGGGAAUUACUUAGUUUACGUAAGUAAAAUUAGAGUUAGUACAUAUAAACAACAAUAACAUACAAGGAAAAGAGGAACAAAAGUUUUAAGAUUUGGGCCUUUAUUGGCCCAUUAGAAAGCUGUCCAGCUUUUGGACCUCAUUCGUAUGGACUUGGGUCCAUUUUCUAAAGUGUAUACCAGCUGUAUAUCAAUAGCUUAAGUCUCAACGUUUUUGUGUAUAUCACUUCAUAUACAGUGUAUAUCAGUGACAAAUACUGCUUAUUUCCCCUCCACUUUUCAUCAUAAAUCGUGUGAUGAUGUGCAGCUGCUGCUUACGAUGUAUAUUCACUGUAUAUCAGCAUAUACCAGCCCCUAAUGCUUAUAUCGUUGUAUACCAAUGCAAAAACAGUCCUCUCGGGACUUGGACUUGAGAUUUUGACUCGAUGUUGGGUUAGACCCAACGAGGAUGCUAGGAAAAAGUCCAAAAGGGCUCGAACGAGUUCAUGCAAAAAAAAAAAAAAAAAUCACAACAUUAUGAAACGAAUAUUCAAACUAGCACAUAUGCUUAACAUCUAAUGAGCAAUAUAGUGAAAAACUAAAUAACUUCAGCCAUAUUGUGAGAUAAAUGUAUCCACGUCUCUCCAUAACAUAAAACUGAAAAGUUGCCUUCUGGAUGAGUCACAACUCCCAAAUAUAAAAGCCUUCAAGAACCUUUUCUACAAUUGCAAAUAUACUAAGAGGAAAUUUUCUUAAAGAAUCAAAUAUUUCUCUUUCAAGUAUAUGUCUACUGCUCAAUCUUAGUUUUCAAUUCAUUCUAAAAAAAAUUUCCAACAUUCUUGAAAAAAAAUGAACUGAACAGCAAAGAGAAAUUCACCAAACUAAACAUAUUCUUUCACUGUUAAUGCUACGGUAAGGAAAACAAAGAUUGGUGUGUGAAACAUUCCUUUCUUAAAGUUCGGAAAUCAUAGACUUCGAAAAAUAAAUAAGUAAUUAAAUAAAAUUAGGCUAACCUAAUCUAUAGCUAAAGCCAGAACAAUUUAUGAUGAAUAACCUUACUUUUCUUUUUUUUUUCUUUUGCAAACUUUAAGACGAAAAUAUUCAAUUUAACAGAGUAAUGAUGAUAAUAAAAUUGAGAAAAUCUUAACACAAAUUUAAAUUCUUUGAGAAUCAACAAUUGAACAUACUUCACACCAAGAAAAGAACUACUACAUCUCAAAGGCAGAAAAAGAACUAUAUCAUCCCAAAAUUCAUCCUAAUAAAGUGUCUGGAUGCUCCUCUCAUACGGACAAUUAAUUCAUCGACAAAACGGCGAUAAAUACAGCCAAUUCCAUAACAUAAUUUUUCAGUCAUACGAAUGAGAUUAGGGAAAAAGCUUUCACCUUUUUUGGAGCAACGAACCGGACAACAAGCUGUAGCGAACGAAUUCCACCAUCGAAAUUUCAAUUUGAAUUUGUUGGAAUAUAACAUUCGUCGGCACUGAUUUUCGAACUCUCCGAAAAUUUUACAUGUGGCUCCGAAGCUCCAAGUUUUUCCCAAAAUAAAUUGAGAUUUGAAUUUUUUUAAAAAAUAAGAUAAGAUAACUGUUGAUACAGCUGUUGUGCAACUGUUAUUGCUGUCAUUGUUGACAACGUGGUGUUACGUCAGGUUAAGUGAGGAAGAGACGGGUUCGGGUCGGGUUUGAAAUUGUC
rnacentral:lncRNA from 1 species